CUCUUUCAGAAACAAGAGAUUUUUCAAGACCUUGCUCCACUGCUGUGGCACUCCUUUGGCACUGUUGCUGCACUGCUCCAGGAGAUUGUGUCAAUUUACCCUUCACUUUCACCUCCUACUUUGUCGCCAGUUGCAUCAAACCGUGUCUGCAAUGCACUUGCACUUCUUCAGUGUGUUGCUUCACACCCUGAGACCAGGAUCCCGUUCUUGAAUGCUCACAUCCCACUAUACCUGUACCCGUUCCUGAAUACUACCAGCAAGACAAGACCUUUUGAGUACUUGAGGCUUACCAGCUUGGGUGUUAUUGGUGCUCUUGUGAAGGUAAAUUAAAACUAGAUACUUAUGCAAACUAGGAAUGGAUGGUCCAUAUAGAUUUUUGCUUUAAAUGGUGAGAGGGUUGAACCAGAGGGGAAAACAGUGAUGGGGAUUGGCUGUAUUCUUUCUUUUUUUUGUAGACUAUAUCUUGUUCUUUUGGUAUUCUCAUUCCAGUAAUCCAGUCAUUUUAAUCAAAUGGACUGGUUGGGAUUGGAUCCCAGGAAUCUCAACAGGAACUGUUAUUUUUGAAGCAAACAGGCUAAUGAUUUGUUAGAAAUUAUAUUGUUUCUUCUUUUGGAUA